UUUUUUUUUAAAAAAAAAACCCCACCAACACUCUCCUUCUUCUUCCUCAAACGGCAAAACCCCCAAUUUUUCCUUCUUCUUUUCUCCUAAACCCACGAACGCUGUUUCCCUAACUGCCCAGUUCUCGCCGCCGCGUUUCCCUCGCUACCAUUCCGAACGACUUGCACCUCCCUCACUGCCAUUCAGAUCCGAACGCCGCGCUUCCUUCACUGUCUCAUCAGACCCACUGCCGCGCGAGAGAGAUUCCUCGUCAAUUGCAGCACCUCACCAACUCAGAUCUGUCCAGUUGCCGUUCCCUUGCACCUCACCGGCUCAGAUUCGACCAGUUGCCGCUUCUUCACACUUCGCUAGACCCAGAAUCGUCGUCGGCCGUCUUCCUUGUCUCCGUCGGACCUGUUCUAGGUGAGUUUUAGCGAAACUUGAAAUUUAGAGGGAGCACCGUUAAGGGAAAUUGGAAAUGACCUUCAUCCUUUGGUGUUAGGGCCGCUACUUCUAGUUGCCAUUAUAAUUUGGCCGUUGGAGCUUCGUUAUCCAUAAAGUUUCGAUUGAGGAAAAGAUAAAGAUGUACUGGCGAUGGCGCAACGGAAUUCGUGAUCGUGUCACUGGGACUAGAUCUUUUCGCUUCCACAUCUUGAAAUCUGUUUUUUGGUUUUACUGUUUAAAAUUUAUUACUAAGGAUUAUUUUUUUAUAUGCCUUUGAUUAGCCUUUAAGAAUUUUGGUUACCCUAUUAACUGUUUUAACAAUUGCAUUUAAUAAACGCCUUAUGAACUUCUUUUGUUUAAUUAGCAUUUAUUUCAAAUAACUGAGCGUCGUUUUAAACUCUGUGCAUGCAUUUAUUUUAGUAACGACCUUACCUGGGGUCAGGUCGUUACAUAGUUUCUCUUCUGCCAACCAAAAAGAGAAUAACUCCACUUGCAUUCUUGAGUCUUUCAUGUCCACAUAUUUGUAUGUAUAUCAGCUUACACAUCUGAACAAGGCUUUAUAACUCGUGAGUCCACUUUGGGUUUAUUUUUUUUUAACUCACUUCCUUCCUUGCACUUUUUACUUGAAUUAUCUUCUUCCUUUUUUUUUUUUCCGACUUCUUCAGCAUACGAAAACUUGAUCUUGAAGCAGAAUUGGCUGAAUCAUAUUGUCGAAAUCGGCUUCUCUUUUCACCUUAAUUGCCAUCAUCGGAAAAUCCCUCCGAUUUUGCUGCAUUUUCUUUUGUAAUUGUUACCGACACCCAACGAUUCUGCCAUUAUUGUCUGCGUCGUCUUCAGUGGUGGAAUGCCAACCGUCUCCUCAACUUCUAGCCAUUUUUUUUACCGACAACUAUUAUUGAGACCCACAAGUCACUGUUGCUCAUCGAGGUCAUUCGUCGUCGCCCGAUGCUCUGGUGCUUGAUGUGUAGCUGGCGACUGGACCAAUAUUUUAUUUCAACCUUAGAGAGGUUUGAAUGAUCCGCCGAUCGCACUGAUAUUUUAUUUCGACCUUAGAGAGGUCUAAAUGAUUUGCGAUUGCACCAAUAUUUUAUUUUGACCUUGGAGAUGUUUGAAUCGACUUUUGACCUUAGAGAGGAUUGAAUCGAAUUCCACCUUUGACUUUGUGCCUCCCGCAUCAGAUUUGGCUUUGUGACUUGAGCAUCUGACCUGACAUCGAAAAAAUUCAAUAUUAAGCAUGAUGCAAUAUUGGCGAAUCCUUCACAUUUAAACUUGAAGAAGCCUCGACAAAUCCUCUGAACUUGAGCUUGAUGAAGCAUCACCGAACUCUUCAAACAUAAGUUUGAUGAAACAUUGGUAAAUCCUCCCCACUUGAUUUUGAAGAUGCGUCGUUGAAGCCUCCAUACUUGAGUAAGCAAAGCGAAACCAAUCAUAUCAUACUUGAAGAUGAAGUAGAGCCAUCCACACUGAACUUGAAAUGAAGUGAAGCAGUUUCCAAUCUUGAACUUUGAAGAUGGAAUGCCACUUUAAGUGAGCGUAGCCCCAAUGUUGAAGAUGAAGUGCUAGAAUUUAAGCAAAUGAUGCCUUAAUCUUGAAACGAGUGACAACCAACACUUGAGGCUUAUUUAUUUAAGAUAGCGAGGACAAGAUCGAUCUUCUUUAGUGAAGACCUUUUUUGUAUGCAUUCUAUUUGUGUAGUUUUGUGCAAAGUAGCGUAUUUCUUCAAUUUACUGUAUCCUGUCUUACUAGGGAUGGACAUCUUGAAUUUGUUGCCCUGCUCCCAAAUUGUUGGUAUGCCCCCAUUUAAGAUGAAAAUCUUUAAUUUGGAGUUUCAUUUUUUGCAUUGAGGAUUAACAAUAUCAACUUUGUAAUGCCACAGUUGGGUGGUCGUGGCAUCCCUAUUGUUUCGUGACAGUAUUUUCCUAACUGAACUUAGAUUUCUUUAAGUUGCCUACAUACCCUUGAAGUAAGAGAUCAAGUCAUAAUGUAGUUCAAUUUUUUUUUUUCUUUUUUGCCAUUCACCGUUUAAACUCAUAUGGGUCAUGGGUCAAGAGCAACAUGCAGUGUAGGCUCUUAUAAUAAGGAGCUAUUACAUUUGUAUUUUAGAAGUUUUACUUUCAUCAUGGCUUUGAUCCUCUUCUUCAUUUGUAGGAUUUGCCAAUAUGAUGAGUUUUGGCUUAACGACAACCUCCUCUUCAUUCGUGAAGGGACAAAACUGUGACUUUUAUCGUCAUUGUUUCCUUCACAAAAUGAUUUUGCCUUCAAGGUUCUCAUCUUUGUUUCAUGUUGAUCGCUUGUUAGUUUGAGACAAUAAAAAACAGAUGGCAAAAUUCAAUCUCUGUUUGAUGUGAAGACACUUAGCCUUUUUAAAGCUGAAGUUCGAGUGAAAGGCAACAUUAAACAUUGAUUUUCUUCUUUUCUCGUUACUAUACCCAAUCUUUGGAAGAUUGAAGACCGAGUAGUUGUAGGCUUAAUACGAUAGAAGACAGAAGUUCUUUGCUUGAUUUCUUUUGAAUGAUUGGCUUCUUCGACAUUGAUAUGAUAUGAACUUGUAAAGUUCAUUUGAUUGCAACAUUUGUUGUUAUUGUAGCAUACUUUGAUUGAGUCGUUUCAUCAACUUCAAGCUCAAUUUUUCCUUCUUGAGUUAAUCUUAGAAUUAAUUCUUUUAGAAUGAAACAUUUUUUCACUGGUUGACUGAUGACUCGGUGAUAUUUACAGUAGUUUAGAUCAUCGACUUUUUGCAUCUCUUUUGGUUUUUAGACUCAGGAAGUUGAAUCAGCCGGGUUUUUAGUAGCUGUUCUAACAUGUCAGAAAUGUCAGAAUCAGAAAAGGAUAGACUUUUUCUUGUCUUUCUUGUAAAGUUAAGUGACGUAUUUCACAUCUUGACACCUUUCAGGUUUCUUGUCUUUUCCUUUGAAGGAUGAUUUAAGAGAGGCUAAAUUGACAUCUUCUAAAGUCGUCUCACCAUCAUUUCCUUCAUUCUUUAUGUUAGGGACUAAAAUGGUUUUGUCUCCUCGACUAGCAAUACUCAGUUCCAUAUCAUGGGAGGCGAGUAGCUAACUCUUCAAAGGUGCGAGACCUUAUAUCUUGAAGAAUGUAAAGAAGUCCCCAAUGCAUGCUUGAAUGCACAUCUCAACAACAGAUAAUUUGGUGAGACGGUCUUUGCAAUCUAGACUUGCAUCUCUCUAGCGAUUUAUGUAAUCAAUAAUGAGUUCACCUUUUCGUUGCUUGGUGUUGGUAAGCUCGAACAUACUAACAUUUGCCUAUGCUGAAGAAGCGGUUUAGAAACUCUUUUUCAAGUUGUUUCCAGUUGUCAAUUGACUCAGACUCUAGGUCAGUGUACUAAUUAAAAGCAUUUUCUUUCAAUAUUUGAACAAAUUAUUUGACCAAUAAGUCCCUCUAUGUUCCAGCAUUUUUACAUAUUUUGAUGAAAUGAGCAACAUGUUGUUGAAACUUAGGUGGCUGGUAUCCGGUUGGCAUUAUUAAAGUAUCAAUUCUUUUUGUAUAUGGUUUAGAAUACAAGAGAGAACUUUGAUAAGGACCACCAUACUAGGCCCUAAUAGAGUUUGUGAUCAUAUCUUGCAAUUAUUGCACUGAUAACGAAGCAAUUGAAGUUGAUUGUUGUUGUUGGUUUUCUUGCAAGAUUGUUUUCCCUUUAUCGUCAUCCUUAACAGCAGGUGCUUGGCUUGAUUUAGCAGCAUCAUGACUUUCAAUAUAAUUCUUUAGAGACGCCAUUUCAUAAUUUCUUUCUUCGAUUGUCUUCAUUCGUUUGCUCACCUUCUUUUCUAGUUUAGCCAUUCUUUCUUUUUAUGUACCCACGCCUGUCAUCAUGACUGACACUAGAUUGGGUUUUGAAGCUUCUUUGCUUGAUUGUUAGAAGAUGAAGUGGCUUCAUUAGACAAUGGAUUCUCUUUGAUGAAAAUUUCGCUGUUUGUUAAUUUCGACAGUUGCUCCUAUAUAUUCUUUGCAACCUCAAAGGGUGGCUACUCUUUAGAUCGUUGAAUUUCCUUAGAACGACUUUGAGUAAUUAUUUUCAUGUAAACAUCGCUUAAAGUUUUGAAAAUGUUGUUUUUAGAUACCAUGACUUCUUUUUGUUGUAGAGAAAGAGAUGAAAAGUAGAGAUUGUCCCGCCGAGCGUGCCAAACUCUUCACACGAGAUUUCCAGAGAAAUUUAUUUCGUGGAAUUUGAACUUUGUAUUUGUAUUUAUUUUAGUAUAAUGAGUACAAUCUCUAAUAUAUAAUCUUUUAAUGCUCUCUCUCCAAAAGUAAACUCUAAUGUUAAGUUUGUUGAUUUUUUUAGAUGAUCGGCCUUUCAGCUUGAUGAUUUCUUGAACUAUUGACUUUUGGGCUUGUUGAUCUUUUUGGAGCAGCCUUUGGGUUUGUUGAUUAGCUUGGAUUGGCCUGUGGCUUGUUGAUCUGCUUGUGAACCUUUUCUUAAGUUUGAGGAGAUUGAAUCUUCAACUUGUAGGCUGCGAAGAUACAAUUAAUUUGUUGAAGUCUUCCAAUCUUUGAAGUUUCAAAUAGUUUAGAUCUUCAGUUCUUCAAAAUUUGAAUGCUUUAGUCUUCGAAACUUGAAAAGCUUCAGUUUUCAGCACUUGAGAGCUUGAGAGCGUUGACUUUCAAUAUUUGGGAGCUUCAGUAUUUGGAUUAUGGGAACUUAAGUCUUGGAUCUUAGGAACUUAAAUCUUUAGAGCUUUAAUAUAUCUUUAGAUCUUCAGAGCUCUAGAGAAGUUGUGUUCUUCAGAGCUUUUGAGGUUUCGCUAAAAAUUAUCGUGUAGAAGUGUCGCAAAUCAUCAUCCAUCUGUUGCCGCAAUUGAAGUUCUUGGAUAAGUGAAUCUAAACUUUGUUAUGCAUGUUGUGUUAUGUCUAUUUAGAUUUCGUUGGGUUGGAAUUGGCCGGCACAUUCUGUGGGUUUUAGGGUUUAGUAAUCGGUCACAUCUAUUUUUAUUUUGAGUUUCGAUGUGUUCUUCGUGGGUUGAGGAUGAAGAAGAUAUAGUGAGAGCCUUAUAAGGUGAGAGCAAGUUUUAUGAGAGAUAUAUAGGUGAGAUUGAGAUCAACGAGAUGGACAAUGGGGAGAGCGAGAUGGGUGAGAGUGAUAUAUGCGAAAGCGAGAUUGACGGGAGAAUAAUAGGCAAGAGCGAGACAAGCUAAAGCGAUUAUAGUGAGACUUUAAUAGUAUGUAUAGUUACUGAUUUUUUUAAGAACUUGUUAAUUGAUAGAUUAAAUGUUCACAUCUGUCAAAAGCUUUGAAAAUAAGUAAAGUUGAUAGGUUUCCCGGACAAGUAAUGAGCCUAGACCACAUUGUGAAUGCCAAUAAGAUUGUGAAGGAGAAACUUAUCAGAGGGCAGUUAGAGAUACCCAAGAGAAUAGUUUUUUAGCGAUUUUUAGAGAUUGACCUCGUAUUCAACAACCCACUUAUCCAUCAUAUGUUGUUGAGGAAAGUGAAGAAGCAAAGAGAGAACUCGAUUAGCUUCUUUGUUAGAGGAAAGGUCAUCACAUUUUCGAAAGACAAUUUUUUGUUGAUUACUGAUUUGUGGUGGUCUCCUACGCAAGUUGUUCAGAGUGAAGAGGUCUCACAAGAACUUGCAACAAGGUACUUUGGUAAUCGAUUGACUUCAUACGCAUUCCACCUGAAUUUACUAAAAGAAGAAUAGAAGAAUUUGGAGUUUGAAAAAUGAUGAUGCUAUUAAAAUCACCUUAGUGUAUUACAUGGAGGUUGUAAUGAUAAG